rnacentral:rRNA from 1 species
GACGAACGCUGGCGGCGUGCUUAACACAUGCAAGUCGAACGGAAAGGCCCUGCUUUUGUGGGGUGCUCGAGUGGCGAACGGGUGAGUAACACGUGAGUAACCUGCCCUUGACUUUGGGAUAACUUCAGGAAACUGGGGCUAAUACCGGAUAGGAGCUCCUGCUGCAUGGUGGGGGUUGGAAAGUUUCGGCGGUUGGGGAUGGACUCGCGGCUUAUCAGCUUGUUGGUGGGGUAGUGGCUUACCAAGGCUUUGACGGGUAGCCGGCCUGAGAGGGUGACCGGCCACAUUGGGACUGAGAUACGGCCCAGACUCCUACGGGAGGCAGCAGUGGGGAAUAUUGCACAAUGGGCGGAAGCCUGAUGCAGCAACGCCGCGUGCGGGAUGACGGCCUUCGGGUUGUAAACUGCUUUCGCCUGUGACGAAGCGUGAGUGACGGUAAUGGGUAAAGAAGCACCGGCUAACUACGCG